UAUCAGGUAUAUAAACAAAAAUUUCUCAUUUUAGGGCAUUUGUGCCUCUCGUUUCUCUCUCUUCUCCCGCAUGUAUGUGAGAGGCGAUUUGGGGUGAUUCACUUCAACCCUUGAUAUACAAACAUUGUGCGAGCUGUUCUUCGAGAUUUUGUAGAUCCAACAUCAGUUGUGGCUUUUGUACCUCUCUGUUGUCUGAUUUCUCUCUAUUUUUGCGCAUCUCUCUGACGCGAUUUUGGGGUUUCAACUUCAACCCUUCAAUUCAGUUGUUGUGCGAGUUGUUCCUCGAGAGUUUUUAGCUGUAAAAUCAGUUGUGGCUCUCGUACCUCUCUGUUGUCUCAUUUCUCUCUGUUUUCACGCAUCUAUCUAAUGCGAUUUUGGGGUUUCAACUUCAACCCUUCAGUUCAGUCGUUGUGCGAGGUAGUUCGACUAUUUUGUGCAAACAAGUCUUUGAAGUCGCUGCAGGUAACGCCACUACCAAACCCUAACCCUAAUUAGAACUCUAUUUAUUUGCACAGAAGUGUGUAUUGUCGAUUCUUAGAUCUAUAUGGGAUUUUUUUUUUUUUAAUUAUGUUACUCGUAUUUCAUUUACAGAAGUGUAUGCAUUGUCGAUUCUCAGAAAAAUUAGUUUAAUUAAUUUUUGCUUUCAAAGAUGUGAAUAUCAGAAAUAAGAAAAAAUUUUAAAGUACGAUUGACAGUUUAAUAUAUACACACUAUCCGAACCUUUAAUUUGAAGAGUUUGAACCUUUUUACAUAUAUACGCAUUGUUCGAACCUAUUGUUUACAUGGUUUGGCUUCAAUUCAUGACUUCCAUUUGUUGGUACAUAACAUAAAUUGGUUUAAAUGGACGAAGAAGUACAAAAACCAAGAAACAAACUUCAAUUCUCAAACCAACCAACCACUCAUAUUUCUUACUAUUUUCUGUACUCUUUUAUGUUCUUGCAUAUCUACUGCAUUUAUUUUUGGUAAAAAACAUCUAAAGUCUUAAAAUUAAGUUUAUUUACUACAACUUUCUUCUUUUCUUGUCUUCUACAUACCUAUAGGAGAAUAAAAAUAAUAAUAACAAAAUCUUUAAAUAAGAAAUCAAAUUUAAUAACAGAUUUUAGAGUAGAUUUAAAAACUCAAUAUGAAUGGAAUAAAUGGAGUUCAUACAAUUUAAAGAGUUUGAACCUUUAAUUUUACAUACAUACACACUGUCCGAACCUUAAUUUUAAGAGUUUGAACCUUUAAUUUUACAUAUAUGCACACUGUCCAAACCUUUUUAUAUAUGUACAGGAGAAUUAAUUAUGCUGAAUUAUACUCUAUGGCUGCAGUAGUAUGCUGAAUUUCUCUAAUUUCAUUUAAUUUAAGACAAUGUUAUUAUAAUGUAAUAGUGUACCAAAAAUCUUUAAUUUUGGAAGAAAUUAGAAUUAUAUAAACAAUUUACUAAACUGUUAAAUUUACUUAAUAAUAAUCAGAUGGACAUGAACAAUGACAAUGUUAAGCAAUACCCAUCAAGACAUAUUCAUUCUCUUGAUGGUGAGAAUGGUGACGAUGUUGUAGUUAUUGAACAGGCCGAUACCACUGUUUGGUGUGAUGCUCAUCAAGAGAAAUUCAUGCUCUUGAUGGAGGAAGAGGUUGGAAAAGGAAAUCGUAUAAGCACAAGUUUUAAUCCAACUGGAUGGACACAUAUUGUGGACGCAAUGUUGGUAGAAACUGGGAAGAAGUGCACGAAGGACUAAUGUAGACAAAAAUUCAACACAAUCAGAGCACUGUACAAAUAUUGCAAACAAAAAGUUAGUAAUUCGUGAUUUAGUAUUAAAAGGGUUUGAUGAAAAUAAUUGUAAGCUAAUAACAUGUAGGUUCUCAAGUAUGACAAAAAAAUAAAAAAACAGGGGUGUAAGAAUUAUGAGUAGAUGGUAAGGAUUUUUGGGGAUACACAUGCUAUUGGUCAGCAUGUUCAUCCUUCUACAAAAACACCCAAACCUCACCAAGUGCCAACAAUGUGUCAAGUGGCAACACAUGAAGCUGCAAUUCAUAACAUUGAGGGCAAUGCGUACAUGACUAAUGUAGAAUGACCUAAUAUAGAAGAGCUUAUUGACCUCAGUCCUACUCCCAAACCUGUAGCUAAGAAACCUAAAAAAGAAAGUUUUUCCUCCACAAUGUCUCAAGUAAUGGCAUGUUUGACUGAUAUCGGGAACGCGAAAGCUGAUAAAAUUGCCAAAGCCAUAGCAAAAUCAUCUUCUAGUUGUCAACCAUCUCGUGUUAAAGAAAUGCCUGAAGUUGAAUCUCCCAGUAAAAAAGAAAAAGAAAAAGAAAAAGAAAAAGAAAUUGAUCCCCAACUUGAGGAGUGCCUUAGGAUCGUCAACACAUUAGUGGGGAUUGAUGAUACCCAUUAUGCUAAGAUCAUAAAUAUGUUUGGUGAGGACAAGGUGUGGAGGGACAUAUUUCUUCACAUUCCUGAUGAAAGGGAGGUUGGGUGGGUGACGAAUUAGCCUCUGUGAUAUAUUCGCUAUCUUACUUUUAUGUGCUUUUGGAUGACUAUUUUCUAACUCUUUUUACUUUAUUGUUGGAUGACUAUAUUUAAUUUUCUUUAUCUACUACUUUUACAUUAUUGUUGGAUGACUGUAUUUAAUUUUCUUUAUCUACUGCCUUUACGUUAUUGCUGGAUAAUUGUAUGAUUUGGUAUGUCUUUUAUCCUUUUUUUAUUAUUGCAGAAUAACUGUAUUAUUUGCUAUAUAUUUGUCCAUUUUCCUUAUAUCAUUAUGUUGUUUAAUUUUUAUUACAAUAACUUCUUCUGUUUAUUCUUAAAUAGGAUAAUAGAUAUGGAUAUAAGGACAAUAUUAACCAUGUAUGAUGAUGAUGAGGAGGAGGAAAUUUUUGUAUUGAUCACAGCUGUAUAUGAGUACUAUCAUAAACAUUUUGAUAAGCAACGUUGUAAGGAUUCCAUGUUAUAAGGGGAAGAUUACGUAUUCGAGAUUUUAAAUGGAUAUGAAGAUAGGUGUUAUGAAAAUUUUCGGAUGUACUCCAAUACCUUUAGGGCUUUGUGUCGUGAGUUGAAAUUGUUACGAUUGAAAGAUUCUACAUUUGUAACAGUAGAAGAACAAGUUGCAAUUUUCUUACUUACCGUGUCUCACAAUGAAAGGAAUCGUGUCGUUGCUGAAAGAUUCCAACACUCUACAUCCACAAUUUCAUAUUACUUUCAUGCUGUCUUAAAGUUAAUUUGUGAGUUAGGGAUUAAGAUUAUUGUUCCCCCGGAUUUGAAUGAAAUUCCUAAACAGAUAAAGAACAAUAAAAAGUUUUACUCAUACUUUAAGAAUUGUGUAGGAGCCACAGAUGGUACUCAUAUCCAUGUUGUAGUGCCAGUUAACCAACAAAUACCCUUUUGUGGUAGAAAGGGUGAUACGACCCAAAAUGUCAUGGCUGUAUGUUCUUUUGAUAUGAAAUUCAUAUACAUUCUAGUAGGGUGGGAAGGGUAUGCUAAUGAUUCGAAAAUUUUAAAUGAGUGCACUCAGAAUAAGGAUUUGAAUUUUCCAUCACCACCCGAAGGUAAGAGAAUUACCUUUCCAUAUUUAUAUUUAACAUUAAAAAUACGUUAAUUUUAAUACUUAACAUGACAGGUAAGUAUUAUUUGGUGGAUUUUGGGUAUGCCAAUAAAUCGGGAUUUUUGGCCCCUUUCUGGGGUCAACAUUACCACAUGCAGGAAUAUCGUAGACAUACUAGAGGACUACGUGGUAGAGAAAAGGUGUACAAUUUUAGGCAUUUGUCAUUGAGGAAUAUCAUAAAGCGAUGUUUUGGGUGGUAAAGAUGAGAUUCCCUAUAUUGAAGCAAAUGCCCCCUUAUCACUUUGACACUCAAGUUUUUAUUGUCAUUGCUUGUUGUACAUUGCAUAAUUUCAUAAGAUCCCAAGGUGAAUCUGAUGAAAUUUUUUAUUCUGAAACCCCUGAUCUUCUACUUCACAAAAUGAACCUAAUGUGGAUGACAUUGUUGGGAUCGUCAGUGCUAUUAAUACACAGAUGCGACAGAUGGAUAUUUAUCGUGAUUGUAUUGCGAACCUAAUUUGGGAGCACUAUAAUCACUAAUUAUAAUAGUGUGUAGGAUUUUAACUUACAUGCAUAGAAUAUGGAUAACUUUAAUAACUAAUUAUAGUAAAUAAACUUUAUGGAUAACUAUAAUAAUUAAUAUUAGGACAUCAAAUAUUAAAUGCUUUAGUACUUGUAGGCGCACUUAUGUAUAGGCUUGAAGGUGAGUGACCACAAUGUGCAUGUGGUAGAGGUCCCAUGCAUCUCUAUAGGGCUGGAACUCCAAAAAAUUAUGGUCGACAAUUCUGUAAGUGUCCAGCUCGGGAGGUAUGACUUUAAUCUUUUAGGUGUUAUUUCUGUUACUGUUUCCUAAUUGUAUAAUUUAUAUUUGUUGUACUCACAUAUGAAUGCAUUUAUAUGGGUGGAUGAGUUGCACCAAGGUGCACAAGUUGAAGAACAGGUUCAAUCUGACUUGGACAAAGUCAUUGUAAUGAUUCAAAAUGAACAAUGUAGACAGAAGUACAUGCUCUUCCUAGGUUGUGGAUGUCUUACUAUCACAAUCAUGUUUAUUAUGAUUGUCUUCUUCUUACUCAUUAUCAUUGUUAUUGAAAGAUGAAGUUAGAUAAACUUCUAUCUUGUGUAAUAUAUGACAUGUAAUAGGUAUUUAGUUAAUUUCCUGUGUUUCAUUUGGUAUGUAAUAUAUACUUAAUUUUCUGUAUUUGGCUGAGCUUGCUGCUGAGAACUACAAAUGCUAUAUUUUCAACUACGUAUUACUUGUUGUUGUGUUCUCUUCUAUGUCAUUUUGGGAGUGAGCUUAAGGGCAUUUAUAAAAUUUGCUACUGAGCCUGAAGAAAUGUUCUUCAUGUGUUUGGUUAUGAAUGAGGUCAUUUACACUCAAAUUUGCAACUUAGCCUGAAAAAAUGUUAGCUAUAUCUUCCUUACUACUUCUUGCUUCAUUCCUAUCAUGUGUUAAUUUCUUUUUCUCUAAUCUUCUUCAUGUGUUUGGUUGUGCAUGAGGUUAUUUACACUCAAAUUUGCAACUUAGCUUGAAAAAAGGUUAGCUAUAUCUUCCUUACUACUUCUUGCUUCAUUCCUAUCAUGUGUUAUUUUCUUUUUCUCUAAUCUUCUUCAUGUGUUUGGUUGUGCAUGGGGUUAUUCACACUCAAAUUUGCAACUUAGCCUGAAAAAAAGUUAGCUAUGUCUUCCUUACUACUUCUUGCUUCAUUCCUACCAUGUGUUAUUUUCUUUUUCUCUAAUCUUCUUCAUUUUUUUGGUUUUACAUGUAUUUGGUUGCUGUUCUGUACUGUAACUUGGGAUUGGAUUGAGCUUGAUGUCAUUUACACUCAAAAUUUACAACUGAGCCUGAAAAAAGGUAGCUGUAUUGGAUUGGCUUUGUUUUCCCCUCCAAUUUGGAUGAACUCAGGAUUAACUCAGAGAUGUUGUUUUGGUUCAAUUUGGACAAUUCUGGAACUUUGGCCAAGUAUUGAAUGUGUAACAAAUAUUGUCUUUAACAAUUCUUUUAUUCUUUUUAAUUUACAUUCUUCCCCUUAUUUUCCUUCAAAACUUUCUUCCUAAUUUAGCUGAAUAUCUAGGGAAUAAUGUGGAUUUCAUAAUUCUUAGAUAAGUUGGGAUGAUUAAAAAAAAUCACAGAUGAAAUGUAAUGGCUUCAGCUCGUGCUGAUUUGAAUAUGGUCCCCUCUCAUGAUAGAGUUUGUGCAUUGAAUGAGGGUUUGAUGUUCCUGCACUUUAUUUAUUUAUUUUUUUUGGGUUGGAAUAGGUUGAUUUUGACCUCUUAUUUUUUAAAUCAUAAGAAUUAAUUGAUUACUUUGUGUUACUUUCUUUUGACAGAGUGGGUAGAAAUGUAGCUACUGGGAUUUCAACCAAACACAAAAGCUUUGAAUUUUUUUUCCCUUCAAAUGAGCUGUUGAAAUUUUGUGUCAAACAAUUCACUUUCUCAGUCUUUGCACUCAAUGCAUCAUGUAUAUUUCUUUUCAAUUGGGAAAAAACUGGAAGCGGCAAUGGGUCUGCUAUUUUGAAGGAAUGGGACAAAUAUCUGCCUCUCUUUUGGCAGCUGGUUCCGCCUAAUGAAGAAGACACCCCCGAGACUUGUACUGAGUUUGAGAAAUUGUAUAGUGAUGAUGUACAGAAAUUGUAAAUUGUAGGAAGUUAUUUUCUUUGAAGACCUUGACAGAGCUACUAGUUGUGUAUUACUAUUUUGUUACUUAUGAAAUAACAGUUCCAUUUUUGUCCA